UUGCGAAGUCAUCAAUAUCUACGGUCAAACACCUCUGCCAAGGAAAACGGACGUGUGUUGUCCAGGCUCAUAACCGCCUGUUUGGUGACCCCUGUGUCAGAACGUUCAAGUAUCUCGACGUUGUGUAUGAGUGCAAGUAACAUCAGGGCAAGAAGUGAUCAACCCGACUGCGUUUAAUGGUAACAAAAACAAGAAAAUUGUUUAAUUUCAAACUUUGAUGAUGAAAUUUCUUUAUUCAGACAUUAAUUUUGAGCAAUCAUGGUUAUCCUACAACUAUUUUCUAUAACCUGUCUUUUGUCAAGUUUAUUAUUAUUUGGGAGUAGAGAAGAAUAGUACCUUAACAAUGCCGACUGUCCAGUCCCUGUUCAGAGGCGGAUUUAGGGUGGGGCACUGAGGUAGUUUUACCACUGCCGUCUUUUUUUUAACAGUAAUAUUUCUGAAACAGCAUAUAAUGCACACGAAUUAUUAUACCAUUACUUGAUACUUAUUUAUCUACAUAGGCCUAAUUAUAUUAGAUCUAGGCCAAUGUUCUUCUGUGAUUAGGCGUAAUCGUUCAAAUUGAUUACCGUAAUUAAGUAAAAUCUAAUCUUUCCCGCUCAUUCAUUCCCAUUUACUAAUAUCAAAGAGUAUAGAACUGCAGUUCUAUACUUUUUGCUAAUAUAUAACCCGGUGGUUAUUAUAUUGUUCGGUGGCAUUUUUCACAUUGUGGUUUAUGACUUUAUCUCUUCGCUUGGAAUUUAAAUGUGCACUCACAUUACAUAAUAAAUUUGUUUGCAACCAGAACCCUGAAA